GUGGCCAUAGCUCAGUUGGUAGAGCACCGGAUUGUGAUUCCGGUUGUCGCGGGUUCAAGCCCCGUUGGCCACCCCA
rnacentral:tRNA from 2 species